rnacentral:rRNA from 1 species
AUUGAACGCUGGCGGCAGGCCUAACACAUGCAAGUCGAGCGGAUGACGGGAGCUUGCUCCUCGAUUCAGCGGCGGACGGGUGAGUAAUACCUAGGAAUCUGCCUGAUAGUGGGGGACAACGUUUCGAAAGGAACGCUAAUACCGCAUACGUCCUACGGGAGAAAGCAGGGGACCUUCGGGCCUUGCGCUAUCAGAUGAGCCUAGGUCGGAUUAGCUAGUUGGUGAGGUAAUGGCUCACCAAGGCGACGACCCGUAACUGGUCUGAGAGGAUGAUCAGUCACACUGGAACUGAGACACGGUCCAGACUCCUACGGGAGGCAGCAGUGGGGAAUAUUGGACAAUGGGCGAAAGCCUGAUCCAGCCAUGCCGCGUGUGUGAAGAAGGUCUUCGGAUUGUAAAGCACUUUAAGUUGGGAGGAAGGGCAGUAAGCUAAUACCUUGCUGUUUUGACGUUACCGACAGAAUAAGCACCGGCUAACUCUGUGCCAGCAGCCGCCGUAACAC